UACGUAGGGUGCGAGCGUUGUCCGGAAUUAUUGGGCGUAAAGAGCUUGUAGGCGGUUUGUCGCGUUGUUCGUGAAAACUCACAGCUUAACUGUGGGCGUGCGGGCGAUACGGGCAGACUAGAGUACUGCAGGGGAGACUGGAAUUCCCGGUGUAGCGGUGAAAUGCGCAGAUAUCGGGAGGAACACCGGUGGCGAAGGCGGUUCUCUGGGCCUUACCUGACGCUGAGGAGCGAAAGCGUGGGGAGCGAACAGG
rnacentral:rRNA from 1 species